UGUGCCUGGGAGGAAUGUUCGUGGUGGCCCCAGCCUGGAUCCGAGAAGAAAGGCAGCCUUGUGGGCGAAAGUGAGGCCUGGCAUUUUCUUCCCGCUCCCCAUGCUGGCACGUGACACAGCCCCGGGCACAUGGGAGGAACGUGAUAAAUGCUAAUGGAUGGCCCGGGAACGCCCUGUCCUCCACCAAGGUCCUGAAGUCUGAGCAGUGGUUGGUGACGGAAGACCUGGAUGCGAAAAGCCGACCACCAGAGUCAAGACCCAGAGAAAACAGCAGGUGCCUGAGGCAAGGAAGCCGGGAUUCCCAGACUCUGGCAGCCUGGCCCCAGCUGUCCCAGAGGGCACCCCGCCAGCCCCUGGGUCCACUCCACCCAGGGUCCAGCCCUGACUGCGCCAAUGGCAGCAAAGAUGGCAGGGACCCCAAGGGCAACUUCCCAACCACCAGCAGCAUUUAGGGAGCACCAACUGUGUACCCCACUCUGGACUGGGCAGCAUAGAGAUUGUACCGCAGUGAAUUCCUGGGGACCAGGGGUGGUGACUUCAUUGUCUUCCUGUCCCUAGAGCCCAGCACUGGCUACUCAUGGAUUCAAACAUUUAUGGUGCACCUACUGUGUACCAGUGACUAUGCUGAGUGCAUCUGCCUGCCAAGAGAGGGAAUUUCUGGACCAUAUAUUUAGGGAGGGGAGGAAGACAGUGCACUUUCUUUUUUUUUUUUUAAUCUUUUGUUGUUGUUGUUGUUGAGAUGGAGUCUCACUUUGUCGCCCAG
rnacentral:lncRNA from 10 species